rnacentral:rRNA from 1 species
CUGCUAAUGCCGCAUAAGCGCACAGUACCGCAUGGUACAGUGUGAAAAACUACCGGUGGUACGAGAUGGACCCGCGUCUGAUUAGCUUGUUGGUGGGGUAACGGGCCUACCAAGGCAACGAUCAGUAGCCGACUUGAGAGAGUGAUCGGCCACAUUGGGACUGAGACACGGCCCAAACUCCUACGGGAGGCAGCAUG